rnacentral:pre_miRNA from 1 species
UGUAAACAUCCUUGACUGGAAGCUGGUGUUCGCUUCUUGGGCUUUCAGUCGGAUGUUUGCA